rnacentral:rRNA from 1 species
GACGAACGCUGGCGGCGUGCUUAACACAUGCAAGUCGAACGGCAAGGCCCUGCUUUUGUGGGGUGCUCAAGUGGCGAACGGGUGAGUAACACGUGAGUAACCUGCCCUUGACUUUGGGAUAACUUCAGGAAACUGGGGCUAAUACCGGAUAGGAGCUCCUGCUGCAUGGUGGGGGUUGGAACGUUUCGGCGGUUGGGGAUGGACUCGCGGCUUAUCAGCUUGUUGGUGGGGUAGUGGCUUACCAAGGCUUUGACGGGUAGCCGGCCUGAGAGGGUGACCGGCCACAUUGGGACUGAGAUACGGCCCAGACUCCUACGGGAGGCAGCAGUGGGGAAUAUUGCACAAUGGGCGGAAGCCUGAUGCAGCAACGCCGCGUGCGGGAUGACGGCCUUCGGGUUGUAAACCGCUUUCGCCUGUGACGAAGCGUGAGUGACGGUAAUGGGUAAAGAAGCACCGGCUAACUACGUG